CGGACGGGUGAGUAACGCGUGGGUGACCUGCCCCAUACCGGGGGAUAACAGCUGGAAACGGCUGCUAAUACCGCAUAAGCGCACAGAGCUGCAUGGCUCGGUGUGAAAAACUCCGGUGGUAUGGGAUGGGCCCGCGUCUGAUUAGGCAGUUGGCGGGUAACGGCCCACCAAACCGACGAUCAGUAGCCGGCCUGAGAGGGCGACCGGCCACAUUGGGACUGAGACACGGCCCAA
rnacentral:rRNA from 1 species